CGGGUGAGUAACGCAUAGGUCAUGUGCCUCUUAGUUUGGGAUAGCCAUUGGAAACGAUGAUUAAUACCAGAUACUCCCUACGGGGGAAAGAUUUAUCGCUAAGAGAUCAGCCUAUGUCCUAUCAGCUUGUUGGUAAGGUAAUGGCUUACCAAGGCUAUGACGGGUAUCCGGCCUGAGAGGGUGAACGGACACACUGGAACUGAGACACGGUCCAGACUCCUACGGGAGGCAGCAGUAGGGAAUAUUGCACAAUGGGCGAAAGCCUGAUGCAGCGACGCCGCGUGAGGGAUGACGGCCUUCGGGUUGUAAACUCCUUUCGACAGGGACGAUAAUGACGGUAUCUGACGAAUAAGCACCGGCUAACUCCGUGCCAGCAGCCGCGGUAAUACGGAGGGUGCAAGCGUUACUCGGAAUCACUGGGCGUAAAGAGCGCGUAGGCGGGAUAGUCAGUCAGGUGUGAAAUCCUAUGGCUUAACCAUAGAACUGCAUUUGAAACUACUAUUCUAGAGUGUGGGAGAGGUAGGUGGAAUUCUUGGUGUAGGGGUAAAAUCCGUAGAGAUCAAGAGGAAUACUCAUUGCGAAGGCGACCUGCUGGAACAUUACUGACGCUGAUUGCGCGAAAGCGUGGGGAGCAAACAGGAUUAGAUACCCUGGUAGUCCACGCCCUAAACGAUGGAUGCUAGUUGUUGGAGGGCUUAGUCUCUCCAGUAAUGCAGCUAACGCAUUAAGCAUCCCGCCUGGGGAGUACGGUCGCAAGAUUAAAACUCAAAGGAAUAGACGGGGACCCGCACAAGCGGUGGAGCAUGUGGUUUAAUUCGAAGAUACACGAAGAACCUUACCUAGGCUUGACAUUGCCACUAACCGCUAGAAAUAGCAUUAUGUCCUUCNGGNANAAAGUGGCAACAGGUGGCUGCAUGUGUGUCAUCAGCUCGUCUCGUGAGAUGUUGGGUUAAUUCCCGCAAGGGGGGCAACCCCAUGUCUUAGUUCCUAACAGGUUAAUGCUGAGAACUCUAAGGAUACUGCCUCCGUAAGGAGGAGGAAGGUGGGGACGACGUCAAGUCAUCAUGGCCCUUACGCCUAGGGCUACACACGUGCUACAAUGGGGUGCACAAAGAGAAGCAAUACUGCGAAGUGGAGCCAAUCUUCAAAACGCCUCUCAGUUCGGAUUGUAGGCUGCAACUCGCCUGCAUGAAGCUGGAAUCGCUAGUAAUCGCAAAUCAGCCAUGUUGCGGUGAAUACGUUCCCGGGCUUUGUACACACCGCCCGUCACACCAUGGGAGUUUGUUACACCAGAAGUCGGUAGUGUAA
rnacentral:rRNA from 1 species